rnacentral:rRNA from 1 species
UGGGGAAUAUUGCGCAAUGGGGGAAACCCUGACGCAGCAACGCCGCGUGAAGGAUGAAGGCCUUCGGGUUGUAAACUUCUUUGAUUGGGGACGAAAAAAAUGACGGUACCCAAAAAACAAGCCACGGCUAACUACGUGCCAGCAGCCGCGGUAAUACGUAGGUGGCGAGCGUUGUCCGGAAUUACUGGGUGUAAAGGGCGUGUAGGCGGGACUGCAAGUCAGAUGUGAAAUACCAGGGCUCAACUCUGGAGGUGCAUCUGAAACUGUGGUUCUUGAGUGGUGGAGAGGAAAGCGGAAUUCCUAGUGUAGCGGUGAAAUGCGUAGAUAUUAGGAGGAACACCAGUGGCGAAGGCGGCUUUCUGGACAGUAACUGACGCUGAGGCGCGAAAGCGUGGGGAGCAAACAGG